UACGUAGGGUGCGAGCGUUGUCCGGAAUUACUGGGCGUAAAGAGCUUGUAGGUGGUUUGUCGCGUUGUUCGUGAAAUCUCACGGCUUAGCUGUGAGCGUGCGGGCGAUACGGGCAGACUAGAGUACUGCAGGGGAGACUGGAAUUCCUGGUGUAGCGGUGGAAUGCGCAGAUAUCAGGAGGAACACCGGUGGCGAAGGCGGGUCUCUGGGCAGUAACUGACGCUGAGAAGCGAAAGCGUGGGGAGCGAACAGG
rnacentral:rRNA from 1 species